ACACCUCAACUCUCAUGGCUUGCCAUGGUGAGCUUGGACCUUGGAGGACUUGCUGGCACACGCAGGUCAGCUCCUCUCAAAUGAAUCAGCUUGCCGGUGUUUGGUGGCUUCACAGGUGUGAUAAAUAUCUACGCUUGUGGCUUUCCACCAGGUAACCUUCAGCAAUGGAGGUUCACUGGAGCUCAUAAAUGUCUCUCCUCAGUGAGGACAUAUUUUGACC
rnacentral:misc_RNA from 1 species